rnacentral:sRNA from 1 species
CAAAGAAAAAGUGUGAUUUUUCAAGGAAUCAAGUGUUUAAAGGUGGUGAGCUAUCUGAUACGGGUAAAAGACUACACCCGAGGACCGAGAAUAGGAGUAUAUCUACUCCUAGUACAGCUCAGAAUAGGCAGUAGACUGUCAAUUGCAUCGAGAAGUAAAUUUCGGAGUUGCAUCCUAGAAAGCAAGGUUAUAGACUUAAACCUUCUCAGUUAUUUGGGGGCCUACGUGUCAUUA